CAGUCGCCACGGUAAUACAGAGGGUGCAAGCGCUAAUCGGAAUUACUGGGCGUAAAGCGCGCGUAGGUGGUUUGUUAAGUUGGAUGUGAAAUCCCCGAGCUUAACUUGGGAACUGCAUUUGAAACUGGCAAGCUAGAGUCUUGUAGAGGGGGGUAGAAUUCCAGGUGUAGCGGUGAAAUGCGUAGAGAUCUGGAGGAAUACCGGUGGCGAAGGCGGCCCCCUGGACAAAGACUGACGCUCAGGCGCGAAAGCGUGGGGAGCAAACAGGAUUAGAUACCCCGGUAGUCCCUGUCUCUUAUAC
rnacentral:rRNA from 1 species